rnacentral:piRNA from 1 species
UAAUCACUAAGUAAUGUUGCCAAAAAAGGUU